UACGUAGGCAGCGAGCGUUGUUCGGAGUUACUGGGCGUAAAGAGUGUGUAGGCGGUUUGGUAAGUUUGGUGUGAAAUCUCCCGGCUUAACUGGGAGGGUGCGCCGAAAACUGCCAGACUUGAGUGCCGGAGAGGAAAGCGGAAUUCCUGGUGUAGCGGUGAAAUGCGUAGAUAUCAGGAGGAACACCGGUGGUGUAGACGGCUUUCUGGACGGCCACUGACGCUGAGACACGAAAGCGUGGGUAGCAAACAGG
rnacentral:rRNA from 1 species